rnacentral:rRNA from 1 species
AGGCUUUGAUCCUGGCUCAGGAUGAACGCUGGCGGCGUGCUUAACACAUGCAAGUCGAACGACCUUCGGGUUAGUGGCGGACGGGUGAGUAACGCGUGAGAAUCUGCCCUCAGGAGGGGGAUAACGGCUGGAAACGGCCGCUAAUACCCCAUAUGCCGAGAGGUGAAGCGAAUUUCGCCUGAGGAUGAGCUCGCGUCUGAUUAGCUAGUUGGUGGGGUAAAGGCCUACCAAGGCGACGAUCAGUAGCUGGUCUGAGAGGAUGAUCAGCCACACUGGGACUGAGACACGGCCCAGACUCCUACGGGAGGCAGCAGUGGGGAAUUUUCCGCAAUGGGCGAAAGCCUGACGGAGCAACGCCGCGUGAGGGAUGAAGGCCUCUGGGCUGUAAACCUCUUUUCUCAAAGAAGAAGAUCUGACGGUACGUGAAGUGAAUAAGCCACGGGUA